UUUAUGGGGUCAUGUCGGACCGUUGUAGAAGACAUUGUUGUGACAGUUUACGGAGUCUUGCUGGACCCUUGUAGAAACUAACCGGAAUCUAUGUCGGGACAGUUUACAGAGUCUUGUCGGACCCAUAAAAAAUCGCAUCCUCAAAAGGUGCGCUCAAUUUUUCAAAAGGCGUGCCAUCAAAAGGCGUGCCAUCAAAAGGUGUGUCCAGGUUGGCGUCGAGCGCCGAGCGGCGCAUGAUGCGCGUGUCUGCCUCUUCGUCAGGGUCUUUAUAAACUGAGGCGGAGGCUGUGCUUGAGGCAGAAGCGAAGACAAAAAAAAA